GCGAGGCCCGGGGCCUGAGGUGGGGCCAGUUUCCUCUGCAGGGAGCCCUCAGCCGGCGAAUCACACAAAGGCACCGCAUGGGCUGGCUGAGUCCCUCAGAGAAGCUUUCCUGCACCUGUCCCCAGCCAGGGUGACCUCCAAGGACAGAGGCGUGUGAUGAGAACCUCCUGGCAAUCUGGAUCUGCUGCUCUGGUGACCCAGAGGAGAGCUGGGAAUUGGAGGGUUUUGGUCUCGCAGUUUCCUUGGAAGAGCAGGCGGUGGGGGGCGUGUGGAGUCAGGGUAGGACAGGCGUGGGCGAGGGGAGGGCCCAGGAGGACAGGGUCCUGGGCAGGAUAGGAGGGGGCGAGCAGAUGACAGCCCUGGCUGGGGCGUCCCGGUGUGGCUCCCAGCCCCGCUCUGUCACUGCUCUCCUGGGAGACUCUUGGCAAGCCCCGUGCCUCGGUUUCCCCAUCUGACAAAUGCUGAGGGAGGGAGGAGGUAGACGUGGAUUUGGAGUCACAGGAGACGAAUUUCUAGCUCUGCCACCCAGCCCCGGGGCCCGCAGCUUCGGCCGGGUCAUUUGACGCGUCCAGCUUCACUUCUUCCUCUGCUUAGCAGAUGGCGGCUUGUCCUCGGCCUCCUGGCCGGCCACCAGGCCUGGGCUUGGGUUCCCAUUGCCCCCUCUCCCCGCCCACCCGCCUCUCUUCCUGGUGGGGGACCUGUCUCUCCUUUCGGGGGAAGGGGCUCCGUCUCCGCCAGCCGCCGGGGAGCACGAGGAGCAGGAAAAUUGCAGCAUCAGCGUGGAAACGACAACUGGGGGCGUCCGGGUCACAGGGAGGGCGACUUGUUCCUCGUUUUUUAUUUGCAGUCGCUACUAUCUAGGCAAGGAGGCCUGCGCUCAUUAACCUGCAUUGCCGGCGCGGACACUCUGCGAACCCGCCGCAGCUCUCCCAGGGCCACUCCACGCACGCACGGAUUAUGCAGCAGCAGCACCCUGGCCCGGCCAAGGCAGCGUCCAGGCCUGUCCUCCACACGCUCGCAGCCCCGUCCCCCCAGGUGGGCUCCCCUGCACCCCAGAGCUCCCUCCCCCAUCCCGGCCACCCCCAGGGUCCAGGCUUCUGGACAAGGGCACACACGGGGUGAGCCCUCACGGGCUGAGGCCCUGGUCACCUCCGUCCAGAUUUGCAGCCACCUGACCUCAAAGCGGGUGGCUGACUGGGCGCUGGCCGCACAGGAGGGGCUGCUCUGGGCCAUCUCCCUUGGGGGGGGCAUCCUGCCUCUUUCUGCCCCCAGCAGUGCUGCCUCCCAGAGGACGGGCUGGGAGGGCGAGGCUCAGGUCCCACCCAUGAAUUCCAGCGGCGUUUAUUCUCCAGCCUGUACUGCGCCCGGCCCAGGAUAGAGGUCGGCUCCCCAGAAGCGGCCUCCCAGAGCAGGCCUGCGGCCCAGCCCUCCGGGAACGGGGUCAGGAACCCCUUCUCCACACCCUGAACGGCCUUGCUGAGAAUCGGUGAUUAGUCCUCAUCAGCCCCAGUGAUAAUACGAAAAUCACUGCCAUCGAAGCCGGCAGGCUGGCCUUGCUCUACGCUGCGGAUUACGUGACUUGCUUAGAGGGAAAUGCCCGCCCUCUGGCCCCACUCCCACCCGCCCGCCGCCUUGGGACCUUCCCUGGGCUGGGAGAGAACUUCACGCUCCAGACCCUGCUCUCUCCAGCUGUCCAGCCUCCCCUCAGCCCUCAAGGCUGAGGUCGAGUUCUCCAGGCAGUUCUGUGCCUAAAAGCACCUCCUUAUGCCUGCAAUUUGCCAUUUGCACCUUCCAAGUAGAGUGCAACUGGCUAACUGCCAUGGCAAUUAGGUAAUUGCAGGUGCAAUUAGCAUCUCUCUCGCAAAGCAGAGGGAGAGGGAGAGGAGACCGAGGGAAAGGGGAAUCAGGAGAGGAAACGCAGGCGCGCGAGGCCGACCAGGGAGGUGAGGGAGGAGCCCAGGGCACGGGGUAGAGAGAGGCAAGAGCGGGUGGACGGGAGAGGGGCGAGGACAGCUGGAGAGAAGAAAGGGUGCGUGCCAAGGAAAGGAAGGGCACAAGCCGCAGCCCCGGCCAGAGAAGAGCUGAUGGCCAGGGGGUAAGAAGGAGCCUGCGCGGGGCCGGGAGGCGGAGGAGGAGCCACGCGGGCUGGCUGUGUCUGGGGGCUUCCGGGGCCGCUGAGCCUGGACGAAGGACGGGGGCCCCCUGAGCAGACAGAGGAGGAGGGGCGUCCUAGUAGCGUUCCAGCACAAGCCAAGGUCCCAGCGCGUGAGAUCCCGAGUCUGGGGACUGCGAGAGGCUAGACGCAGCCCUGUCCAACAGCGCAU